rnacentral:lncRNA from 1 species
GGCAGAAAGUUUUAUAGUCUUUUCCGCAGUUGUUAAAAAUCCUGCUACUGUAAUUUAGUCCUCGCCACAAAAAAAAAAGAAACCCAUCAGUUGUGAAAAAUAAGACACUCUCUAUUGGUGUAUUCUUGGAAACCAGUGGAAGAGAGGACCUCUCCUGAGCAUCUCGCUGAACUUAAUGAACUUGGGGAUUAUUUAAAUUGCUUGGCUUGUAAUAUAAACACUCGAGGGCUUGCCAGCAGUGUACCUUCAGGAUUUGUGGCUUUUCUGAAAAAAAUCAUUUUGGAUUUUUUUUUUUUUUUUUCAGAAUCCAUUGCAAUUAGUGGCACUAUGGCAAAGGAUGAUUUAUCAAAUUGCCUUUCAGUUACAGAAAAUAGAAGCCAUUAAUGAUGUUGCAAACAUAUUUUUAGUCGUGUUCAGCAAGAAUCACUUGCUAGCUCUCUUUCUGUGUAAACUAAGACCAUUCCCAGGGUACCAGCUGAAUCGUCCUUUGUGCGGUUGUAGACCUUCAGGAUGGUUUUCACCUUCUCCUGCUGGAAGAGAUGCUGAUAUUCACGACCACACCAGUGGAAACGAGGUGCUUCUCAAAAUUAACAGCCCGUGCUUUGCUACUUACACCUCGCCGUGGUUCUCCCCCGCCAUCCCCGAGAAGAGGGUCAUGGGCUACCUUGGGAGCUGUUGGAAGCAGCAGAGGCACAACUCUUUCCCUGAGGUGCUCCUAGACACCCUGCAACUAUAUUCAACCCUUCAGUACAGGUUUGCCCCAAAGGUACAGGCUGCUCUAAGCAAGAAGUCAAGCGCUGCUCUGGAAAACAGACUUGUCUUCAUGCGGUUCCUCAUCGGAAGAUACAAGCUGUCACGAUCCCUUGCCAAUCACACGAGAACUGACCUAGGGAGAACAGCAGCUGAAGGUGAGUGUACGUGUCCAAUAAAUUCAGUCCCUGCUGCAUUAGCUUAUUUUUAGGAUUGUCCUGAAAAGACAUUCAGCCUGUAUCAUAAAACCUUCAAC